CUAGUACGGCGAGUGAAGAGGGAAGAGCCCAAGAUUGAAAGCUGGCGUCUUCGGCGUCCGCAUUGUAAUCUCAAGAAGUGUUUUCCGCUUCGGACCAUGCCUAAGUCCCUUGGAAAAGGGCAUCAUAGAGGGUGAUAAUCCCGUUCAUGGCAUGGAGCGCCCGAAGCUUUGUGAUACGCUUUCUAAGAGUCGAGUUGUUUGGGAAUGCAGCUCAAAAUGGGUGGUAAAUGCCAUCUAAGGCUAAAUAUUGGGGAGAGACCGAUAGCGAACAAGUACAGUGAUGGAAAGAUGAAAAGAACUUUGAAAAGAGAGUUAAACAGUACGUGAAAUUGCCAAAAGGGAAGGGUAGGAGGUCAGAGAUGCGUCUUGGAAUUCAGCCUUGCUUCUGCUUGGUGUUUUUUCCAAGUUGCAGGCCAACGUCGGUUUUGGGCACUGGAGAAGGGUGGAAGGAAUGUGGCACCUCUCGGGGUGUGUUAUAGCCUUCUACUGGAUACAGCGACCGAGACCGAGGACAGCAGCGUACUCGUAAGAGCGGGCCUUCGGGCACCUUUACGCUUAGGGCGUUGGCAUAAUGGCCCUCUACCACCCGUCUUGAA
rnacentral:rRNA from 1 species